GGAUAUUGCACAAUGGGCGCAAGCCUGAUGCAGCGACGCCGCGUGGGCGAUGAAGGCCUUCGGGUCGUAAAGCCCUUUUGCGGGGGAAGAUGAUGACGGUACCCCGCGAAUAAGCCACGGCUAACUACGUGCCAGCCGCCGCGGUAAUACGUAGGUGGCAAGCGUUGUCCGGAUUGACUGGGCGUAAAGGGCGUGCAGGCGGUCUGUUAAGUCUAGGGUGAAAGCUCCCGGCUCAACUGGGAGAGGUCCUUGGAUACUGGCAGACUUGAGGAGAGUAGAGGAGAGUGGAAUUCCCGGUGUAGUGGUGAUAUGCGUAGAUAUCGGGAGGAACACCAGUGGCGAAGGCGGCUCUCUGGGCUCUACCUGACGCUGAGACGCGAAAGCGUGGGGAGCGAACCGG
rnacentral:rRNA from 1 species